UACGUAGGGGGCAAGCGUUGUCCGGAUUUAUUGGGCGUAAAGGGCGUGUAGGCGGCCAGAUAGGUCAGAUGUGAAAACUCGAGGCUCAACCUCGAGACGUCGGUUGAAACCGUUUGGCUAGAGUCCGGAAGAGGAGAGUGGAAUUCCUGGUGUAGCGGUGAAAUGCGCAGAUAUCAGGAAGAACACCCGUGGCUAAAGCGACUCUCUAGUACGGUACUGACGCUGAGGCGCGAAAGCGUGGGGAGCAAACAGG
rnacentral:rRNA from 1 species